rnacentral:rRNA from 1 species
GGCUCAGGAUGAACGCUAGCGGCAGGCUUAACACAUGCAAGUCGAGGGUAUAGUUCUUCGGAAUUAGAGACCGGCGCACGGGUGCGUAACGCGUAUGCAAUCUACCUUUCACAGAGGGAUAGCCCAGAGAAAUUUGGAUUAAUACCUCAUAGUAUAGCAGUUUCGCAUGAAACCACUAUUAAAGUCACAACGGUGAAAGAUGAGCAUGCGUCCCAUUAGCUAGUUGGUAAGGUGACGGCUUACCAAGGCAACGAUGGGUAGGGGUCCUGAGAGGGAGAUCCCCCACACUGGUACUGAGACACGGACCAGACUCCUACGGGAGGCAGCAGUGAGGAAUAUUGGACAAUGGGCGCAAGCCUGAUCCAGCCAUGCCGCGUGCAGGAAGAAGCAUCUAUGGUGUGUAAACUGCUUUUGUACGGGAAGAAACACUCCUACGUGUAGGAGCUUGACGGUACCGUAAGAAUAAGGAUCGGCUAACUCCGUG